rnacentral:rRNA from 1 species
AUUGAACGCUGGCGGCAGGCCUAACACAUGCAAGUCGAGCGAGCGGCGGACGGGUGAGCAAUGUAUGGGGACUGCCCGAUAGAGGGGGAUAACUACUGGAAAAGGUGGCUAAUACCGCAUACUAUCCGAUAACCCAUAGGGGAUUAGCUAGUAGGUGGGGUAAAGGCUCACCUAGGCGACGAUCCCUAGCUGGUCUGAGAGGAUGAUCAGCCACACUGGGACUGAGACACGGCCCAGACUCCUACGGAGGCAGCAGUGGGGAAUAUUGCACAAUGGGCGAAAGCCUGAUGCAGCCAUGCCGCGUGUAUGAAGAAGGCCUUAGGGUUGUAAAGUACUUUCAGCGGGGAGGCGUUACCCACAGAAGAAGCACCGGCUAACUCCGUGCCAGCAGCCGCGGUAAUAC